rnacentral:rRNA from 1 species
UGUUGGUGGGGUAACGGCCUACCAAGGCUACGACGGGUAGCGGGUCUGAGAGGAUGGUCCGUCACACUGGGACUGAGGCACUGCCCAGACUCCUACGGGAGGCUGCAGUCGAGAAUCUUCCGCAAUGGGCGAAAGCCUGACGGAGCGACACCGCGUGCAGGAUGAAGGCCUUAGGGUCGUAAACUGCUGUCACGCCCUAGGAAAGCUAGACGGUUAAUACCCGUCUUGUUGACCAAGGCGAAAGGAAGCACCGGCUAACUCCGUGCCAGCAGCCGCGGUAAUACGGAGGGUGCAAACGUUGUUCGGAAUCACUGGGCAUAAAGAGCACGUAGGCUGUCCAGCCAGUCUGGUGUGAAAGCCCCCGGCUCAACCGAGGAACUGCAUCGGAUACUACUGGACUCGAGGACGGCAGGGGUGAGUGGAACUUCAGGUGGAGCGGUGAAAUGCGUAGAUAUCUGAAGGAACACCGGUGGCGAAAGCGGCUCACUGGGCCGUCUCUGACGCUGAGGUGCGAAAGCUAGGGGAGCAAACGGAAUUAGAUACCCCGAUAGUCCUAGCCGUAAACGAUGGGCACUAGAUAGGGGAGGCGCCUAUGGUCUUCUCUGUCGUAGCUAAUGUGUUAA